rnacentral:rRNA from 1 species
GCGAACGCUGGCGGCAGGCUUAACACAUGCAAGUCGAGCGGGCACUUUCGGGUGUCAGCGGCGGACGGGUGAGUAACGCGUGGGAACGUGCCCUCUGGUUCGGAAUAACUCAGGGAAACUUGAGCUAAUACCGGAUACGCCCUUUUGGGGAAAGGCUUGCUGCCGGAGGAUCGGCCCGCGUCUGAUUAGCUAGUUGGUGAGGUAACGGCUCACCAAGGCGACGAUCAGUAGCUGGUCUGAGAGGAUGAUCAGCCACACUGGGACUGAGACACGGCCCAGACUCCUACGGGAGGCAGCAGUGGGGAAUAUUGGACAAUGGGCGCAAGCCUGAUCCAGCCAUGCCGCGUGAGUGAUCAAAGCCUUAGGGUUGUAAAGCUCUUUUAUCCGGGACGAUAAUGACGGUACCGGAGGAAUAAGCCCCGGCUAACUUCGUG